UAGCGUUUAAAUAUUUUUUGUUAUAAUUGGAGGUGAAAUUUUAAAUUUUAUUUUAAUUAUGUUAACGCUAUUCUUUUUUAUAGGCUAUAAAUAUUUGGGCUUAAACUAGGAUUAGAUACCCUAUUAUACCAUAUAGAUAAUUUUUUGCUUGAGUAGUAAUCAGUUAUGUGCUUGAAAUUUAGAGGAUUUGGCGGUACCCAAGUCUAGUUAGAGGAACCUGCUCUGUGAACGAUAUUCCCCGAAUUAUCUUACUUUUAUUUGUUUUCAGUAUGUAUACCGCCAUUAGUAAAAUAAUGUUUUUAGAUAUAUAUUAUAUUAAAUAUUAGUUUAGUAUAUUAGGUCUAGGUGCAGCUUAUGUAAAAGUUGAGGUGGGUUACAUUAUAUUAUAUAUUUGGAUAAAGAUUUUAUAAUUCUUUUGAAAUUGGAUUUAAUUGUAUUUGUGUUUUAAUAAGGCAUAGUGAUAUUAGCUCUAGGGUAUGUACAUAUCGCCCGUCGCUCUCAUUA
rnacentral:rRNA from 1 species